rnacentral:lncRNA from 1 species
UUUCUCCCUAAAAUCUGGUUAUUUGUUCUUCUUGAUACAAAUUAAGCCCACUUUUCAACAACAUCUUCUAUUAUUUGAUGUCGUUCCUUUUUGGUUUUGUCAAACCAUAAAGACUUCAAACCCUAGAACGUAAUCAGUGUUCCGUCUCCCUUCAACUACUCAUAAAAUAUGAACAAUCGAAAGGAAGAAACUUGAAAUUGAAGCGCAUGAUUCGACCUACAACUCAAAAUCAAGCUUCGAGAGAUCAGGUUAGUCAUAUGAUUGAGGCUUCAUAAAAAUGUUUAAUAUUAUUUCUGAUUGAGGUUUUCUUUAUGAAUUCUUAAUGUAUUAUUGUUGGGGAAUGGUUGAAGAAUACUAGGUUAGAAAUUAUGACUUACUGUAAAAAAAAAUCCUCAAUUCAUCACUGCUCUUGAAAUUGAUUAGGUCGUUAAUAUCGAUUAUCAAAUCUGUUUUGUUUUAAAUAGAUGCAUAAAAGUGAUUUGGAAGGAUAUUUUGGUAGAUUGAAGACAAGCCUGUGUAACUUAUUAAGGGUAAAAUGGUGUAAUUUGUAAAGGGUAAAAUGGGAACUCUCAUUCCUUGGAGAGAUGGAAUGAAAAACACGCUAGUUAAUGGAAUGACAUUCAUGACUCUGGAUCCUCCAUAAAUUCUUUCUCUCCCUCUUUCUUUUCGUGGCCCUGGUUCCCUGUUACAAGAUUUCAUCAAGUUCGAUUUCCAUGUUCCAUUUUGAUUCUCUUUUGAUUUUGCAAUUUGUGUCUGGAUGCAAAUGCUCAUUUUAUGUUUAAUUUUGAGGUUUGAUUACAAGAAUACGAGGUUUGGUUUUCAGUUUUGAUUUGGUUUUAGUUUUGAGUUUUGAAUUCACAAUUUAUUCUCUAUGUUGAUUUUGGUUUUAGUUUUGAGUUUUGAAUUCACGUUUGUUGAAGGUACAGAGGGGUUAAUAAAUUAAUAAGAAGAUAAAUAAGGUAAAAUAGUUUUUUUAGGCAUAAAAGGACAACAAAACCAGAUGAUUUAAAUACAGAUAUACGAUUUUCUCUUCCCUUUAUGCUCAUUAGAUUUUUGUUGUUACUCUAAAUCUUAGCUGUGUUUUUAAAUCUUUGAUAAUUGCCAUGGAUUCAAAUUCGAUCAUCUUUUUUCAACAUUAGGGUUUUCUCGUUCUAAGGGUUUUGAGUUGAUCACAACAAAUAUUCAGUAGAUUAAACAGAUCUCUAGUUUUUCUAGGCCGGAUGAAAUUAUCGUUUUCCUGAUGAGAGCGUGAAAACAAAAGAUCUGGGUUCAGGUUCGAUGAUACCGUAUUUUGCAGCUUCGAAUCGACGAUGCUGGAGAAGUCUAAAGACGGAGGAGAUGAAGGACAACAUCGAUGCUUGCAUUUUCCAAUGAAGGUGUAGCUGGUGAUUAGGUUUUCACGUUUGUUGCAACAAAGACACACACAAUUAGGUUAAUAGUUCUAUUAGUUUACGAAAAUGGUCCUUGUAGGUUAGGAAAUUAAUAAUAAAAUAUGAAAAAGAAAAAAGAAAUGGUAAAAAUUUCAUUUUAUAGAAAUUUAAAGGAAUCUUUUUGACGUGGUGUGUCGAAAGGACCAUUUCUGCAAUAUCAACGAAACACAAAGACCAAGACCGAGUUUGUCCAUUUUCUUGAAGUUGGAGUAUAUAUUCCUAUUUCACCAAACCAUAUUAUAUAUAGAGAUUUUCUAAUAUGUGCCCUAAGGGCACACAUAAGAAGUAUUAAUUAUGAAAAAAUAUUACCAUAAUUAAAUUCGAAAUACAUUUAUUAUGGAAAUUAUUAAUGCACUUCAUAUUUAAUUAUGGUAACAUUACUUAUAAUUAAUGUAUUUUAUAAUUAAUUAUGGUAAUAUAUAUCAUCAAUUAAUGCUUCUUAUAUGUGCCUUUAGGGCACAUAUUAGAAAAUCCCUUUAUAUAUUUAUANAUAAACUUAACUUAAUUGAUAAACAUUUUUUUAACAGCAAAACAAGUUAUAUGAAAAGAAAACUCAAGAAAAAAACUAGAAACAAAAAGAUAUCAAUACAAGACAAAAUAAAGAUAACUAAAAGAACAAAUCUUCAAUACUAAACACUAAACUUCUCAUCACAAAACCACAAACCUAUUCAAAUAUCUGGUAAUGCAACCUUUUAAAAUAGGGUAGUGGUUAACUUUUUACAAUGCAAUCUUUUCCAACAAAAAUUGAUAGUUUCAACAGCAUUUGCAACUUUUCAAGAAAAAGGUUGUCAUGUACUUUUUUUAAUAGUUUAGCUUAAGUGGAAGUGUUAAAGAUGUAAGCUACAUUCAUCUACCGCUUAAUCAUGGACGAUGAAGCAAAGGAAUAAGAUAAUUUUGUAUCAACGAGAAAAACAUUGUUAUAGUUUUUACAUCCUUAAAUAACAAAAUGAAAAAUAAAAGACUCGUAUAUACCUUACAAUAAAGAUUGAUGACAAUAAUAGUUCCCAGUGCNNNNNNNNNNNNNNNNNNNAUAUAUAUAUAAUGAACUAUAAUAAUGCUAACAAUAUGAAUUACAAAGGCUUUACAACAUCAUUAUGUUGACACUCCUCUACUAGAGGUAACUUUUCCUGUAUACACUACAAGUAGACUAUAGACUUAGUGAUUACCGUUGUUCCAUGUUAAUGACAUGCUAUUUAUUGUUAGUGGUGUCUUGAUUCCUUGAUCACUAAUAUUCACCACAAAAUAGUCAUAUUUUUUGUUUAAUGUAGUGAAGUGGAGAUUGUUGGGAUCAACAAGGAUGUGGAGCUUUAAACCUCCUUGUAUUAAUACAACACAUAUUAAAUUAGGUGUACCCAUAUUCGUCACUAAAGAGAUGUCAUAAAUGCAUAUUACAUGUUGAUGUGAGCCGUCAUGGAAGGGUAAUUUAGUUAUUUAAAUGUUAAAAUGGCACGACAACCAUCAUUUAUGUUUUGAGAUGUGUUGUACCAUAUCUUGUGAUAGUCUUAUUUAGAUGUGUCAUGUACAAGACCCAAAUCUUUAGCCUUGUGAGGACAAUGUCUUGAUCCCUAUGCAAAUUCAACAUACAAGCUCCUAUCAUGACCAUUUCUCAUAAUAUGACACAAUUAAGAAAAAAAAAAGAAAUAAAGAUGUUUGAUCAAAAUUUUCAGCAUUUAUACCAGAAUAGAUUUAAUUCCUAUUUCAAUUAUUAGUUUUAGAGAAGAUAAGAAGUUAUCGGUGGUCAUGAGUGCAAAUUUAGUUGCUGAAGGAGAUCAAUUUGAGUGAAAAGACUUGACAAAAGCAAUAACUAUAAUAACAUGCGGGCAAGCCAUUCAUGUUCCUGAUAGAAUAUUGUACUUGAUAGAGAUUUUGUCAAUAAAGGUAUCAAGUGAAGCUAUGUAGAAAUAGGCCGCCAAGAUUUACUCACCAGGAUGUGUUACAUUAGGCUAAAAUAACAUAACAUAUUUCAUUAAUCUCAUAGAAAAUUAGAACCUUUUAUAGACGGAUAAUUUUAAUAAUAUAUGAGUUAACUCAUAGGUUUUUUGAUAAGGUUAUAAUGUUUCAAACUUUCCUUCAAUAUAUUGUAUUUUAAUCUGAGCAUCUAUUCCUAGUUUAUAGAAAACCAGAGCAAGGUUGGUUUUGUAUAACGAAAGUUUAAGAGAACAUCUACGUAGUAACUAAGCAUAUGGAAGAAAAAAAAUACAUUUAUAAUAUGAAAUAUAAAUUUACUUAGUCCUUGGGAAGAAAAGGAGACCACAAGAGGAGUAGUUGGAUUGUUAAUGUCUUUGCUGAAUUUUUUAGCUUUU